CGAGGACACGCUGGCGGCGUGCUUAAAACAUGCAAGUCGAACGGACUUCUCAUGAAGCUUGCGAUUGAGAAGUUAGUGGGCGGACGGGUGAGUAACGCGUGGGCAACCUGCCCCUGAGCCCGGGAUAACAGUUCGAAAGGACUGCUAAGACCGGAUAUACUUGCGGGAAGCAUUUCACUGCAAGGAAAGGAACGCUCAGGGAUGGGCCCGCGUCCCAUUAGCUAGUUGGUGAGGUAACGGCCCACCAAGGCGACGAUGGGUAGCCGGCCUGAGAGGGUGAACGGCCACACUGGGACUGAGACACGGCCCAGACUCCUACGGGAGGCAGCAGUUGGGAAUCUUCGGCAAUGGGCGCAAGCCUGACCGAGCAACGCCGCGUGAGUGAUGAAGGUUUUCGGAUUGUAAAGCUCUGUCUUCCGGGACGAUAAUGACGGUACCGGAGGAGGAAGCCACGGCUAACUACGUG
rnacentral:rRNA from 1 species